CUUGGUCAUUUAGAGGAAGUAAAAGUCGUAACAAGGUCUCCGUUGGUGAACCUGCGGAAGGAUCAUUACCGAGUGCGGGCCCUCGCGGCCCAACCUCCCACCCUUGUCUCUAUACACCUGUUGCUUUGGCGGGCCCACCGGGGCCACCUGGUCGCCGGGGGACGCACGUCUCCGGGCCCGCGCCCGCCGAAGCGCUCUGUGAACCCUGAUGAAGAUGGGCUGUCUGAGUACUGUGAAAAUUGUCAAAACUUUCAACAAUGGAUCUCUUGGUUCCGGCAUCGAUGAAGAACGCAGCGAAAUGCGAUAAGUAAUGUGAAUUGCAGAAUUCCGUGAAUCAUCGAAUCUUUGAACGCACAUUGCGCCCCCUGGCAUUCCGGGGGGCAUGCCUGUCCGAGCGUCAUUUCUGCCCUCAAGCACGGCUUGUGUGUUGGGUGUGGUCCCCCCGGGGACCUGCCCGAAAGGCAGCGGCGACGUCCGUCUGGUCCUCGAGCGUAUGGGGCUCUGUCACUCGCUCGGGAAGGACCUGCGGGGGUUGGUCACCACCAUGUUUUACCACGGUUGACCUCGGAUCAGGUAGGAGUUACCCGCUGAACUUAAGCAUAUCAAUAAGCGGAGGA
rnacentral:rRNA from 1 species